UUCGCCCUUAGAGUUUGAUUCUGGCUCAGAACGAACGCUGGCGGCGUGCCUAACACAUGCAAGUCGAACGGGGUAAAUAUCUUCGGAUUUUUACUUAGUGGCGAACGGGUGAGUAACGCGUGAGGAACCUGCCUUUCAGUGGGGGACAACAGUUGGAAACGACUGCUAAUACCGCAUGAGACCACGGUUCUGCAUGGAACAGGGGUUAAAGGAGAAAUCCGCUCGAGGGUGAGCUCGCGUCCCAUUAGAUAGUUGGUGAGGUAACGGCCCACCAAGUCUGCGAUGGGUAGCCGAUCUGAGAGGAUGACCGGCCACAUUGGAACUGAGAAACGGUCCAGACUCCUACGGGAGGCAGCAGUGGGGAAUAUUGGGCAAUGGGCGCAAGCCUGACCCAGCAACGCCGCGUGAGGGAAGAAGGUUUUCGGAUCGUAAACCUCUGUCCUAUGGGACGAAGAAGUGACGGUACCAUAGGAGGAAGCCCCGGCUAACUACGUGCCAGCAGCCGCGGUAAUACGUAGGGGGCGAGCGUUGUCCGGAUUUACUGGGUGUAAAGGGCGUGUAGGCGGAGGUGCAAGUUGGGAGUGAAAUCUAUGGGCUUAACCCAUAAACUGCUCUCAAAACUGUGCCCCUUGAGUAUCGGAGAGGCAAGCGGAAUUCCUAGUGUAGCGGUGAAAUGCGUAGAUAUUAGGAGGAACACCAGUGGCGAAGGCGGCUUGCUGGACGACAACUGACGCUGAGGCGCGAAAGCGUGGGGAGCAAACAGGAUUAGAUACCCUGGUAGUCCACGCUGUAAACGAUGAAUACUAGGUGUGGGAGGACUGACCCCUUCCGUGCCGCAGUUAACACAAUAAGUAUUCCACCUGGGGAGUACGACCGCAAGGUUGAAACUCAAAGGAAUUGACGGGGGCCCGCACAAGCAGUGGAUUAUGUGGUUUAAUUCGACGCAACGCGAAGAACCUUACCAGGGCUUGACAUCCUGCUAACGAAGUAGAGAUACAUCAGGUGCCCUUCGGGGAAAGCAGAGACAGGUGGUGCAUGGUUGUCGUCAGCUCGUGUCGUGAGAUGUUGGGUUAAGUCCCGCAACGAGCGCAACCCCUAUUGUUAGUUGCUACGCAAGAGCACUCUAGCGAGACUGCCGUUGACAAAACGGAGGAAGGUGGGGAUGACGUCAAAUCAUCAUGCCCCUUAUGUCCUGGGCUACACACGUAAUACAAUGGCGGUCAACAGAGGGAUGCAAAACCGCAAGGUGGAGCGAACCCCUAAAAGCCGUCCCAGUUCAGAUUGUGGGCUGCAACCCGCCCACAUGAAGUCGGAAUCGCUAGUAAUCGCGGAUCAGCAUGCCGCGGUGAAUACGUUCCCGGGCCUUGCACUCACCGCCCGUCA
rnacentral:rRNA from 1 species